CAGACAAUGCUUUCCAAAAUCUCUCCUCCAAGUUAUGAAAAUGAGUAAUAUGUUUUCAAUAUAAUGUAUUGUACAUCGCUAUAAAAUAAUAUUUAUGCACCUGGCUCAGUCAUCUCUGUGAGCCUCCAGCUCUCAGAGGCAAUGCCCAAUGACAGCUGCUGGGGAGAGUAAUGAUGAGGCAUUAAGAAUUCCUGUAGCACUGAAAUCAGCCAGAGAAUAUAUAUAACUUGAACAAAAACUUCCACAGAUGUUAGGGGUAUUAAAGCCAACCGAGCAUUUUAAGGGCUUUCCCCAACUUCCUACCUGAUGCAAAUGCCAGCAAGAUUAAAAUCCCAUCAAUCAUCACCGCAACCAAAAGUGAAGAACUUUGAUAUAGUUCCUAAAUAUUUUAUUGGUAUUAUGAUCAGGGCCAGCGUGAUGUUUGGUAGAAAGCUUAAAAAAUACCACAAAACAGAUUUCUGGCUACGGCUUUUCUGUACGUGUAAAUCCAAGGCUAAAGGCAGCUCUGUAUUGGCCAACGCAUCAGUCAUUGUGCAGUUCUAAAACGAUCCUUUAUCAGUUUUGCAGUGUUGGAUCCAUGCAAAGCUACUGUGGAAAUUGUCCUGAACCAGCAGCAAAAGGAAAUAUUUAUGCUAACAGCCAAAAGUCAUCUCAGGCAACGUAAGGAUAUCUCACAUACGACUCGUUAACAGCAUCUGAAUGAAAGCAGCAUUGCAGUCCUGACCGUACACUCUUCAUUGCAGCCUCUUCAUGACCAGUUUCGUAGUAAGAAACGCUGCUUUCUACGAGGAGGCAUGAGGUUUAUUCAACAGUAAUUCAAGAGCACCAUAAGGAGCAGCCUAGAGAUUGAAGACAUCGACUCCUAGCCUUUCUUGUGCAGAAUCACUUCAAGUCCACUGGAGGUUUUCCACUAAUCUGGGCUUGUGAUUAUUGUCUCUUCUUGUAUGGAAGACUGCCAUUCUUUAGAGGAGAGAAAACAUCUUGAGUCAGCCAAAGUGCGGGAAAUCCAGGGCCUGGCACACACAGGCUACGUUUCUAGGAGUAAAUGUAAUGUGCUCAAGACCAUUGCUAAAGACUGUGUUAAUUAAGCCAGCUGGCACAGGAUAGGUUACAUCCAUUCUGUCCAUACUUCUUAUUCCCUGUAAGAGGACAGCCUUACGCGAACUACUAAUUACUUCCUAUGCUUCCUAACUUCCCAACAGUACCACAGAAUCAAUGGGGAGAGUUGUCACAACAACGUGUCAGGGUUUGCUAUAGCAGUUUAACAGUGUAUAUGGCUGUUCCAGUGCCAGGAACCCUCCCUAGCAGCACUCAGUUUUGUCUUCUAGUAUAGGCGCAGCCUGUGAGUUCUGCCUGUAUUUCAGUGAUCACCAGUCAUCCUAUGAGGAUUGUUACCAGUUGGAAGAACCUACAGGGGCUUUUUUUGCACCAUGGCCUAAACUGGAGCAAAACAAACAUCAAAAUCUGAGAAUUCAUAAGCAGCUUUGGAAAUAGUUCUGUGUCUUUACUGUCAGGCAGCUGUACAAAGCCUCCACUGGAGGCAGCAAAGGGUCUAUGUAAAUCAGGAAGAUUCACAGUGAAAUCAUAUUUGCAUCAAAAUAGAAUAAAAAGGGUCUAAAAAUAUCUUUUUUUUUUUUUUUCCUCUUGUGUACAUUUUCUUUUGAGUAGAUCCUAUAUUGCAAUGAAAUAAAACUGCCAAUACUUUUAGUUUUAGCUUGAGGGAAAAGAAGCGUUUAAAAAGCAAUAUUAUAAGACCUUGGCAAGAUGGUCUUUCUACUAAGACAGAAAAUGACUUUGCCUCACAUUACAUUAUUUUUAACAAUCUAUACUGUACUUACUGAAUUCUUUACUAACACGAUUGCUCUCUUCAGCCUCUUUCAUCUCAUUCCCCUCCAAAAACUCAGAACCAUGCUAAAUGGUUCUAAAACUGAAAAUUGUCUCUAUUUAACAUUCAUUACAAAGUGGAGAAAAUCUUCAAUUUAUAUGUGGUGAUUUUUUUUGUUGUUGUUUUGUUUGUUUGUUAUGUUUUUUUGUUUGUUUGUUUGUUUUUGGCUGGUGUUAAAUUUCUGUGUUCCAAAAAUAAUGUUAUAAAGACCUUUUCUAUGAUCUAAUUUUUUUUAAUUUUCACUAUUUUGGAAACACAGCUAGAUGAAGGAAAAACAAAAACAAAAAAAACACACCACAAAAUAGCUGUGUAACUGUGAAAAGACUUUCCAUUGCUGAAUUAGUACCUGUAUGCUGCCAUCAAAAAUACAAAUCUAACUGACGAUUCACUGUUUACGUUAUUCAUUCGGGUUUUACAUGGGGCUCAGCUUAGAUAAUAAAAGCAUCCAUUUUCACAUUUUCUAGUUGGCACUCUUAUCUGGGGAAGUCUUUAUACGUUUUUAUAAUGAAUUAGAGGAAAAAGAUAACUCAAGGGAAAGGCAUUUGUCUUAAAAUGUUAAUUUCCAAUUAAAAUAUUGAAUGCA
ensembl:lncRNA